rnacentral:rRNA from 1 species
GACGAACGCUGGCGGCGUGCUUAACACAUGCAAGUCGAACGGUGAAGCGCCUUCCUUUUUGGUGGGUGUGGAUGAGUGGCGAACGGGUGAGUAACACGUGAGUAACCUGCCCCCUUCUUCUGGAUAACCGCAUGAAAGUGUGGCUAAUACGGGAUAUUCUGGGUCUGUCGCAUGAUUGGUCUGGGAAAGAUAUUGUUUCGGUUGGGGAUGGGCUCGCGGCCUAUCAGCUUGUUGGUGGGGUGAUGGCCUACCAAGGCGGUGACGGGUAGCCGGCCUGAGAGGGUGGACGGUCACACUGGGACUGAGACACGGGCCAGACUCCUACGGGAGGCAGCAGUGGGGAAUAUUGCACAAUGGGCGAAAGCCUGAUGCAGCGACGCCGCGUGAGGGAUGGAGGCCUUCGGGUUGUGAACCUCUUUCGCCAGUGAAGCAGGCCUGCCUCGUUUGUGGGUGGGUUGACGGUAGCUGGAUAAGAAGCGCCGGCUAACUACGUG